AUAUCCAUAAGAUAAUUAAAACGAAGGGGAUUUUUUUAACUUUUUUUUUUAAUCAGCCAGUGGUUAAUGCAACAGUUUAGCAGAUGCUUUACUAUUUUAAAAAAAAAAAAUAUCCUCUAAAAUAACCGGAUCUUCUCAAGCCAGGGGACACCAAGAAGACCCGCAAAUGGGUUUGCUCCGGCUUGCGGAAUGUUUAAAAACUCGGCACUUCGUUCCCCUCGAAUCAGUGGUGUGGCCAAUAUCGGUUUUCUGCCAGUUUAACUAGCCUGUUUGGCAUCUGUGGAAACCAGGUUUAGUUAUCGAAGGGGAAUCAUUAAACCCCAGUUUUAACAGCCAGGCCGAAGGAGAGCCAGGAGAUGUUUGGAUAUUUAGGCUGGGUGAUCUCAGACGCAUCAUAACGAGAAAAUGUUUCUCCAAUUCUAAUUCACUGGAACUCACGGGUAACUUGCUGAAGGGCACCUUGAGCCAAGCCUCCGUGGUCAUCUUUUUAAAAGAAACAGGAUAUCAUCAGUGAAAACAGCUAAUACCAGUUCUGGACUGGCUUGGCACCGAGACAGGCAA
rnacentral:lncRNA from 1 species